rnacentral:lncRNA from 1 species
AAUACAGUACAGAUCUCUGUACUAUAAACGACAACAAGGACCAGUCACAAUUUCAGUUCUUGUUACAUUGAUAAGACUCCUUCAGAAAGCAAUGAAGAGAAAAGCUGAAGUCAGUGAUUAGGAGUGUCUGUGUAAGUAAAAGCAACAGGCAAUUACUGAGUGUGGUGUGAGAGGCACGGAAAGAUUGGGAAUUCAGCAAGAAGAGGAAUUGAAGUCAAACCUCACCUACUUCCCAGAGUCUUCUGGAUUUUCUGAAUGGUUAGAAGCUUCAGUAUCUGAGGAAAGGACUCAGGCAACAAAUAAACAGCUAAGAUUUUACUAGAGUAUGAAAGGGAGAGCACUGGAGUGCAGUGCGGGGAUGGAGAUGCAGCUGUGGUGGCUGGAAGUACAGGAGGGCAGCUGGAGGCACCUGGCCUCUGAAGCCUGUCUUCUUCAUCUGGGUGAGAUCUGCUGGAAUCAGGAAGGACUUCCUGCUGCAAGGAUAAAGACCUAAGAAGCAUCAUGACCUGACAAACAGUUUCACAGGCCACUCUUGGUAGGUGAAGUGUGGUGGCGUAAUCAUGACUCACUGCAGCCUCGAACUCCAGGACUCUAGCUAAACUCUUUCCUCAGCCUUCCCAGCAGCUGGGACUACAGGUAUAUGCCACCAAACCUAGCUAACAUUUUUAAAAAUUUUUUCUUUUGUAGAAACGGGGUCUUGCUAUGUUGACCAGGCUGGCUUUAAAUUCCUUGCCUCAAGUGAUCCUCCCAUCAUUGCCUCCCAAAGUCUUGGGAUUACAGGCAUGAGCCACUGCGCCCAGCUACAAUAUAUUUUGGAUGCUGACUUUAUAUCCUGUGACUUUGCUAUGGUCGCUUAUUAUUUCUAGACAUUUUUGUUCUUGACAGAGUCUCACUGUGUUGCUUAGGCUGGAGUGCAGUGGCACAAUCUUCAUUCACUGCAACCUCUGCCUCCUGGGUUCAGGCUAUUCUCCUGCCACAGCCUUCAGAGUAGCUGGGACUACAGGCACGCAACACCAUGCCCGGCUAAUUUUUGUAUUUUUAGUAGAGACAGGGGAAUCACCAUGUUGGUCAGGCUGGUCUCAAACUCCUGACCUCAAGUGAUCUGCCUGCCUCGGCCUCCCAAAGUGUUGGAAUUACAGGCGUGAGCCACCAUGCCUGGCCACGGUUUUUUUGAUCCUAUAGGAUUUUCUACCAAGACUGUCAUGUCAUCUAUAAUCAAGUACUCUUUUAUUUCUUUUUUUCCAAUUUGUUUCUAUUUUAUUUCUUUUUUCUCAAAGCUUAUUGUACUGACUAAGAUCCCCAGAAUAAUGUUGAAUAAAAGUAUUGGAAACAG